rnacentral:rRNA from 1 species
CCUACGGGAGGCAGCAGUGGGGAAUAUUGGACAAUGGGCGAAAGCCUGAUCCAGCAAUGCCGCGUGAGUGAUGAAGGCCUUAGGGUUGUAAAGCUCUUUUACCAGGGAUGAUAAUGACAGUACCUGGAGAAUAAGCUCCGGCUAACUCCGUGCCAGCAGCCGCGGUAAUACGGAGGGAGCUAGCGUUGUUCGGAAUUACUGGGCGUAAAGCGUACGUAGGCGGUUAUUCAAGUCAGAGGUGAAAGCCUGGAGCUCAACUCCAGAACUGCCUUUGAAACUAGAUAGCUAGAAUCUUGGAGAGGUGAGUGGAAUUCCGAGUGUAGAGGUGAAAUUCGUAGAUAUUCGGAAGAACACCAGUGGCGAAGGCGACUCACUGGACAAGUAUUGACGCUGAGGUACGAAAGCGUGGGGAGCAAACAGGAUUAGAUACCCUGGUAGUCCACGCCGUAAACGAUGAUAACUAGCUGUUCGGGCUCUACGAGCUUGUAGUGGCGCAGCUACGACAUUAAGUUAUUCCGUCCGUCGGGGUAGGUACGGUCGCGAGAAUUAAAACUUAAAGUAAGUAGUAGUACGUCGNGAGACGUCGACGACGACGACGACGGAGGGAGGAG